rnacentral:rRNA from 1 species
UACGAAGGGUGCAAGCGUUAUUCGGAAUUAUUGGGCGUAAAGGGUGUGUAGGCGGUAUGCUAAGUCAGCUGUUAAAUAUCUCGGCCUAACCGGGAAGAUGCGGUCGAUACUGGCAUGCUAGAGGAUGGAAGAGAGAAGUGGAAUUCUUAGAGUAGCGGUAAAAUGCGUAGAUCCUAAGAGGAACACCGAUGGCGAAGGCAACUUCUUGGUCCAUAUCUGACGCUGAUACACGAAAGCGUGGGGAGCAAACAGG